AUGCCACCCUCCACCCUAAAGCCUGAACCCUGCCAAGCUGUUCCAGGACUGUUCCAGGACUGUUCCAGGCUCCUGCAGAGCUGAAACUGAACCUCUGACCUGCAGAUCAGAGGUCAUCUUCAAAUAAUCAGGGGGCAGAAAAACACCGGAACUCUCUGCAGACCAGGAACCAGAAACCAGAAACAACCACACCCGGACUGCACACACUUCUAGGAUUCAGAGAAUCUGGUGACUCAUGGUCGUGUGUCCAUGUAUUCAUUGUCUGGAGCCCGCAGUUCCACAAAGGAGCAGACGGGAGUGUCCAUCUGCUGAUAAUCCCACAAUGCACUGCUCUGCAUCGUGUGUGAAAGAUGUCUUUGCACAGGGAGGCGGUCCUGGUGAUUCAGCAGGGUCACGAGAUUAAAGAGCACCAUGAGACGACGCAGCGGACCAGGUGUUCGUCCCAGAGGAGAGGACGGAGGGCCGGGACAGGAGCCGGCUUGGAUUUGGACUCCCGGCCCCCGGGCCGUGUUCUGAGCCGUCAGAGAGGAGGCGGUCUCUGUGUA